rnacentral:rRNA from 1 species
UUAGCUUGCUAAUUUGCUGACGAGUGGCGCACGGGUGCGUAACGCGUAUACAAUCUGCCUUUAAGCGGGGAAUAGCCCAUGGAAACGUGGAUUAAUACCCCAUAGUAUAUAGGAGUCACCUGGCUUUUAUAUUAAACAUUUAUGGCUUAAAGAUGAGUAUGCGUCCUAUUAGUUAGUUGGUAAGGUAACGGCUUACCAAGACCGCGAUAGGUAGGGGUCCUGAGAGGGAGAUCCCCCACACUGGUACUGAGACACGGACCAGACUCCUACGGGAGGCAGCAGUGAGGAAUAUUGGACAAUGGAGGCAACUCUGAUCCAGCCAUGCCGCGUGCAGGAAGACGGCCCUAUGGGUUGUAAACUGCUUUUAUACGGGAAGAACCACAUCUACGUGUAGAUGCUUGACGGUACCGUAUGAAUAAGGACCGGCUAACUCCGUGCCAGCAGCCGCGGUAAUACGGAGGGUCCAAGCGUUAUCCGGAAUCAUUGGGUUUAAAGGGUCCGUAGGCGGAAUAAUAAGUCAGUGGUGAAAGUCUGCAGCUUAACUGUAGAAUUGCCAUUGAUACUGUUGUUCUUGAAUUAUUAUGAAGUGGUUGGAAUGAGUAGUGUAGCGGUGAAAUGCAUAGAUAUUACUCAGAACACCUAUUGCGAAGGCAGAUCACUAAUAAUAUAUUGACGCUGA